rnacentral:misc_RNA from 1 species
AAGUCGUAACAAGGUUUCCGUAGGUGAACCUGCGGAAGGAUCAUUAAUCCAGGCGCGGACCCCUCCGGGGGCGAGCGCCGCCUUCACACCAACCCUCUGCCUACACGUACCCCCAUCGCUUCCUCGGCAGGCUCGCCUGCCGCCAGGAACCAACCAAACCCCUUGCAUCGUACAUGAAAACCUCCGAUACCAACCUAAAUUAUUACAA